rnacentral:rRNA from 1 species
GGUCAAGUUUUUAAGAGCACAUGGUGGAUGCCUUGGCAGCAGGAGCCGAAGAAGGACGUUGUAGCCUGCGAUAAGCCUCGGGGAGCUGGCAAACGAGCUGUGAUCCGAGGAUGUCCGAAUGGGGAAACCCCGCUGGAGUCAUGUCCAGUGACCCACGCCUGAACACAUAGGGCGUGUGGAGGGAACGUCGGGAAGUGAAACAUCUCAGUACCGACAGGAAGAGAUAUUCCGUGAGUAGUGGCGAGCGAAAGCGGAAGAGGCCAAACCGUGUACGUGUCAAGCCGGCAGGCGUUGCGUAUGCGGGGUUGUGGGACCUUUGAGAGGGAUCUGCCGAUCCUUCAGGGAGUUACAAAUCCGCGUGAUAGUCGAAGGGCAUUGAAAGGCCCGGCAUAGAGGGUGCGACCCCCGUAGACGAAAUUUCGUGGACUCC